CCUACGGGAGGCAGCAGUGAGGAAUAUUGGUCAAUGGCCGGAAGGCUGAACCAGCCAUGCCGCGUGAAGGUCAGUGCCCUAUGGGCGUUAAACUUCUUUUGUGCGGGAGCAAUAAUGGUCACGUGUGGCCAGACGAGAGUACCGUACGAAUAAGCAUCGGCUAACUCCGUGCAAGCGGCCGCGGUAAUAGGGGGGAUGCAAGCGUAAUCCGGAUUUAUGGGGUUUAAAGGGUGCGAAGGCUGUGAGGUAAGUCAGCGGUGAAAUGCCCCCGCUCAACGGGGUGAAGUGCCAUUGAUCCUGCCUUGCUGGAAUGCGGAUGCCGUGGGAGGAAUGUGUGGUGUAGCGGUGAAAUGCAUAGAUAUCACACAGAACACCGAUUGCGAAGGCAUCUCACGAAUCCGCGAUUGACGCUGAUGUACGAAAGCGUGGGUAUCAAACAGGAUUAGAUACCCCGGUAGUC
rnacentral:rRNA from 1 species